rnacentral:rRNA from 1 species
CCUACGGGAGGCAGCAGUGGGGGAUAUUGCACAAUGGGGGAAACCCUGAUGCAGCGACGCCGCGUGGGGGAAGAAGUAUUUCGGUAUGUAAAGCCCUAGCAGCAGGGAAGACGAAAUGACGGUACAUGAGUAAGAAGCACCGGCUAAAAACGUGCCAGCAGCCGCGGUAAUACGUAUGGUGCAAUCGUUAUCCGGAUUUACUGGGUGGACAGGGAGCGAAGGCGGUACGGCAAGCCUGAUGUGAAAGCCAGCGGCCAACCCUCGGAACUGCAUUGGGAACUACCGGGCUGGAGUGCCGGAGAGGUAGGCGGAAUUCCUAGUGUAGCGGUGAAAUGCGUAGAUAUUAGGAGGAACACCAGUGGCGAAGGCGGCCUACUGGACGGUGACUGACGCUGAGGCUCGAAAGCGUGGGGAGCAAACAGGAUUAGAUACCCCAGUAGUC